UAAGUGCUUCCAUGUUUUAGUGU
rnacentral:ncRNA from 3 species